rnacentral:lncRNA from 1 species
UUUUUUUUUUUUUUUUUUUUUAAAUUCCUCUUGGGGAGUUCCCUUUGUGGCUCAGCAGUAAUGAACCUGACUUGUAUACCUGAGGAUGUGGGUUCAACCCGUGGCCUUGCUCAGUAGGUUAAGGAUCCGUUGUUGCCGUGAGCUGUGGUAUAGUUCACAGAUGUGGCUAGGAUCCUUCGUUGCUGUGUCCUAGGCUGGCAGUGGCAGCUCCAAUUUGACCCCUAGCCUGGAACUUCCAUUUGCCUCAAGUAUGGCCAUAAAGAAAGCAAAACAAACCAAAACACCUCCUCCCCAACACACUGGAAAAUAGGUGUCAUUAUUUGUAUUUAAGGAUGAAGAGGUUGAGGCUUGGAAGAGUUUAGUUGUCCAUUGUUAGGCUGCUUGUAAGUGAGGGUGGAAGGUGUCAAUACUGGGUCUGACUCCACAUCCUCUUUUCUUUUUAUAGUCAACUGUGCUCUGUUCUAGGUGUUGGGGUAUAGAGAUGAGAUAGGCAAGGUCCAUGGCCUCAAAUUGCUUGCAGUAUCUGACAAGUAAACAGAUCCAUUCUUUGAGAGAGUGAAAAGUGCUACACAGCAGAAUAUAGCACCAUAAGGACACAGCAGGGAAUUGUAUGUUGCAUUUUUAUAUCCUAGUCCAUAAUAUUGUGUAUUCAAGAGAUGCGCCUAUCCAAGGAAACCGGACAGCUCUGGAUUGAGAUUUUUGAGGUUAGAAUUCAGUUGUGGCUGAUGUGAUUCAGCUGUGUUACGUGGCAAAGUCACCUCCCAUCACUAAUAUUGGAGAAAGUAAUCCCUGUUUUUCCUACUACACUGGAUGAUGAAGGAAGGGAAGUAAAUCAAUUUGAUGUGCCACUGUUUUUAAAACCCCAAUGGGUUAUAAAACUAUAAGGAGUUGUGUUUAACAGCUUUGCCUAACUUGUAAAAGAUAACUUCUUAUAUUUAUUCCCUAUCCUUUGUGUACUUUGAGGAAACGCAUUUCCCUUUGGUCAUUUUCUUCCUAGAAGGACAUCAAGAAUGAGGACCCCUGUGCAGCUUCAGGAGAGUUGGCAUUGGACUUGUCAGAAUCAGGGGAACAUUGUGGGUGUGGAGCACAGAGCCGGUCUCUAGGGGUCCAAUCGGAGCUGUAGCCACCGGCCUACGCCAGAGCCACAGCAACGCAGGAUCCGAGCCGCGUCUGCAAUCUACACCACAGCUCACGGCAACGCCAGAUCGUUACCCCACUGAGCAAGGGCAGGGACCGAACCCGCAACCUCAUGGUUCCUAGUCAGAUUCGUUAACCACUGUGCCACGACGGGAACUCCUGGUCAACUCUUUUAGUGUCAUUAGUGUAAUAAUUGAUGUGCGUACAAAGCAGAGAGGAAGAGAUUAUUGGAAAGGCUUAAUGGAAUCAAAAAUGACACUUGUAUUGGGUUUUGCAAUAUGAAUAGGAGUUCAGCAAAAGCUUUCUAGGAAAAAGGGAGAGCGUGGGCAAGAGCAUCUGUGUGAAACAGCUUAGGACAUGACUGGGUGCUUGAGGGGCUUAAGGGACUUUGUGCUUAGGUGACUGUGAGCAUAGCAGUGCCACUGAAAGAACAGGAAGAAAGAAAUAAGAGCAGCAUAUCCAUUUUAUCCUUUCCUCAAGGGAAGAGGAAAGAUCCAGAGGCAGGGGGCAUGUCAGGCAAUUUUUGUUUUUAUUUCAGAUAUAGCAGUUUUUCCUUAUCUACAGGGGAUGUGUUCCAAGAUCCCAGUGGAUACCUGAAACCGAGGAUAGUGCUGUGUUUUUAUACUGUGUUUUUUCCUAUACAUACAU